CGUAGUAGUCUCCUAAUUAUCAUGAAAUAGUAGUACGUGCAUAAAGCCCCAACACACACACGCACCCGCACGGGUGUGUGUGUGUGUGUGUAUGAUGAGCCAUCAAUCGAAAUUCAAUUUCAGGAAUUUAUUCCCUUAGAACAAUUUAAAUUCUCAUGCGAUCGAUCAGAUCGCAUCUUCUUCACAUAUUUUCUUAUCGAUCCAAUCACAGGGUAAAUUAAUUAGCUGUUUUUUUUCUUCUUUUAUUGUUUUUCUAUUAUUUUAUUGAGCCAAUUAAUUAUAUUAUAUAUAUAAUUAUAAUUAUGCAGGAAAUUGUUGCAUAUACUGAAAAGCAUUAAAUUUUCUUGUCGUCAAAUAAUUGCAGGAAAAAAGUCCAGCAAGCCUCAUAAUAACGUUUACAACCAGGCAAGUAAUUGUUUUUUAUAUUUGGUAUAUAUGCUAUUUAUUUUCCCAGCACCAAAAUAUUAAUUCUCUGCAAACACC
rnacentral:lncRNA from 1 species